GUAACAAGGUCUCCGUUGGUGAACCAGCGGAGGGAUCAUUACUGAGUUUACGCUCUACAACCCUUUGUGAACAUACCUAUAACUGUUGCUUCGGCGGGUAGGGUCUCCGCGACCCUCCCGGCCUCCCGCCUCCGGGCGGGUCGGCGCCCGCCGGAGGAUAACCAAACUCUGAUUUAACGACGUUUCUUCUGAGUGGUACAAGCAAAUAAUCAAAACUUUUAACAACGGAUCUCUUGGUUCUGGCAUCGAUGAAGAACGCAGCGAAAUGCGAUAAGUAAUGUGAAUUGCAGAAUUCAGUGAAUCAUCGAAUCUUUGAACGCACAUUGCGCCCGCCAGCAUUCUGGCGGGCAUGCCUGUUCGAGCGUCAUUUCAACCCUCAAGCUCUGCUUGGUGUUGGGGCCCUACAGCUGAUGUAGGCCCUCAAAGGUAGUGGCGGACCCUCUCGGAGCCUCCUUUGCGUAGUAACUUUACGUCUCGCACUGGGAUCCGGAGGGACUCUUGCCGUAAAACCCCCAAUUUUCCAAAGGUUGACCUCGGAUCAGGUAGGAAUACCCGCUGAACUUAAGCAUAUC
rnacentral:rRNA from 1 species